rnacentral:lncRNA from 1 species
UUAUCAGAAGUGCAGUAAUGGUUUAGCUGCACUGUGUGAAUAUCAACAUUUGAAAGGCUUAUGUCGCUCAAUGGUUCAAAAAAAAAUGAUUACAAAAUUUGAAGAGACUGGAGAGUUGGGUGUGCUGGCAGGAAGAGAAUGGAAACGGAUUCCAAACGAAAGUAUGGAAGAAGUCGCUGCUGCCGUGGUUAACAGAGCGUCCUGUUCCCAACAUUCCUCAAGUGCCCAAGCAGUGAUUUGUGUAUUCCUUGGUUAUGGUAUGAAAGAUUCUGCACGUUAUUUUACAGUGGUAUCCAUACAAAAUCCACAUGGUGCAAAGGCUACAUUUUCAAGAUCCAC